rnacentral:lncRNA from 1 species
UAUAAAAUCAUCAGAAGAUCCAGAAUAAUAAAGUGCAUGCCUAAUUAUCGGAAGAAGUAGAAUCAGAAAGUUGUUAACUCAAUCCUGCAUGCUGAUUUGUAAUUACAAUAGAUUGGAGUAAGGAUUGGAUCCGACACUGAAGGACUUCAAGAAGUGGCUUAUUUUCAAAUUAAGAAAUAUUGUUUUAUUAAAAGCUACCUUUGUAAAACAUGGAAUUUAUUCCAUCUUUUUAAAUAAAAUCCGGUGUUUCUAAACUCUGAUAUUUUUCCUAACUCACGGUCCUGAUGAAAUUUCCGCUGCAAUGUUUUUCAAAAUAAUCACCGGUACCACUGGACUGCUCACGGCACCGAUUCCGGCCAGAUGGGGUCGGGGGUCGUGACAGUGUAGUUCUCCCACUUCGACGCUAUACAAUUAUAACUUUGGGCGGCUUUACACGCGACUGACAAACGACGGUUGAUCAGAAGUUCUGGACUAUGUGUAUAAUGUUUGGUUGAAAGGGUAUAAAGAAAAGUUCGUUUCAACUUGGACUAACACAAUCCCUAAUUUUGGUCAACAUACAACCAACAGAGUUGAAAGCCAACAUUAUAAGUUUAAGAGAUACAUUAAAGGGCCAAACAACUCGCUCCAUAGACUUGUGUGGCUUGUUGGCAAAGUUGUAGAGUCACAACACAUAAAAUAAAACUUAGUUUUCAGGAGAGCAAGUCCGUGCAAAUAGGGGACCACAGGAUACCGUUUUUUGAUAACCUACGCGAUAAUGUUUCCCAAAAAGCCUUAGAGUUGUUUCUUGUCAAGAGGAAAAAGCUACAUGUGUUAAGGGUAGCAGGGGGACU